CUCAUCGGAUUCAUUCUUGCAUCAGCGGGACUUCAUUUGUUUUAUAAAGCCACAUUCAGCAUAAUUCAUUACUUAAAUCAGCAGUCAAUAAAUCAACGAAGAAAAUAUAACAAAUCAAUUUAAUAGUAAACAAACACUCUGAUCUUUAAAGUGGAUUUCAGUUAAGAUGGAGGAGAGGCAAAUGCUGCUCAUGAUGCUCAUCACAGUUUCAGGUGGAUUUGCUGAUAAAAUUGGACCAAAAGAUGGAAAUACUAAUGUAAUCAAAGAAGAAGGAGAGUCUGUGACACUGAGCUGCACAUAUGAAACUAACAGCAAUGAUAUUUGGCUCUACUGGUUCAGACAGUAUCCAAAAGGAGAACCUCAGUAUUUACUGCUCAAAGGUGCUCGAUCACGUGGUGAGGAGAAUAUAUCAGACCGUCGGUUUCGGUCAACAACAUCCCGAUCAUCCACUGAACUCAUUAUUGAUAAAGCAGCUCUGUCAGAUUCAGCUCUCUAUUAUUGUGCUCUAAGAGUUUUAGCCCAGUGAUACAAAAUGCCUGAGAAGCUUUACAAAAACUCAUACAAAAUUAAUGCUUUGAAGUGUCUUUAAUCAAUCUGUAUCAUGUUACUGUAAACCACAAACAGUGAAUGUGGUAACAGCUGUGAAUUUGGGAGGUUACAUAAGGACAUGUGUCUCUUCAUGGUUCUCAUAUUACUGCUUUCAUGUGUUCUCUUUCUCAUGUCAAGGAUCAUUUUUGAUCUUUUAAAGGUGUCUUUUGUGAAUGUUAUCACACUAGUCCAAACUA